rnacentral:rRNA from 1 species
AGAAAAGUCUCUAUCGAGGUUAAAGGUACCCGUACCGCAAACCGACACAGGUGGGUGAGGAGAGUAUCCUAAGGCCCGCGAGAGAACUGUUGUUAAGGAACUCGGCAAAAUGACCCCGUAACUUAGGGAUAAGGGGUGCCACCAUCCGGUGGCCGCAGAGAAUAGGCCCAAGCGACUGUUUACCAAAAGCAUAGGUUUCUGCUAAGUCGCAAGACGAUGUAUAGGAGCUGACGCCUGCCCGGUGCUGGAAGGUUAAGGGGAUCUGUUAGAGCAA